UACGUAGGUGGCGAGCGUUGUCCGGAAUUACUGGGUGUAAAGCGCGUGUAGGCGGGAGGCCAAGUCUGCGGUGAAAUCGCUCGGCUCAACUGGGAGGUCACGCGAUACUGAUCGACUCGAAGGCAGGAGAGGGUAGUGGAAUUCCCGGUGUAGUGGUGAAAUGCGUAGAUAUCGGAGGAACGACCAGUGGCGAAGGCGAACUACCUGGCCUGGUUCUUGACGCUGAGGCGCG
rnacentral:rRNA from 1 species